rnacentral:lncRNA from 10 species
CCCGCCGCCCGCGAAAACCCUGAGCGGGAGCGAGAGACCCGGAGCCCAGCCAGGAACCGGCGUGCUAGUGGAGCGGACUAGCAACGCCUACUUUCUGCCUUCACUACGGGACUCCGACAGUCCGGAGACUUCACUUCCCAGGCUCCAUUUCGCCAGGAUCCCGAAGCUGAACUUGGCGCCGUGGCGCGUUGCUUGCCGGUCAUUGUAGUCCAGAAGAAAGGAUUUUUUUUGUUUGUUUGUUUUUCUUCCCCCCCGCACUUGGGUAUGCAGGCUGGCCUGCAACUUCUCUGCGCCGCGCCGCUGGGGGGCUGAGUCUGUCGCUCCCUGCGCCCGGAACCAUGCGCUGCCCGGUGGCCGGGUCUGACCCGACUGCUUUAGCUUCCUUAGGCUCCGCGAUAGAAGGGUGGUGGAAGCCGCAAGAGUUGUCGGCUCCUUGUGGGUUCAGGCUGCGCUUUGCGUUUUAAGUGCUGGAAACUUUCCGGGGUCGCUGUCUUCCUGUCACUCCGCAGGGAAAGGGCAAGCCGGUCAUUCGGCUACAUCUGGAAUAACUGCCAAACGUCCAGAGAGAGAUCCCGGAGUGACUUCGGUAUUCAAGGCGAAGAGAUCUCGGAAAGCCAGAAUAUUUGCAAGGACUAGGAAAAAGAUGCGGGUUUUUUUCACUGAAAAUUACUUGCAGGGGACUGGGUGUAGCCGGCUGAAAACUGCAGAAGGAAAAUUUUCUUUAUAAGCUCCUGGAGGGCAGCGACCCACUGAGAUCUCUGUACCGUGACAUCUGUCACUCGCUAGACCCUAGUACAGUGCGUGACACGGGAUUAAGCACUUUACAAAGGUUAAUGGAAUGAAUUCUACCACGUGCUAGAGAAAAUAACUUCUUCAGAGAGAGCUAGAGAGGAAUCUUACGUUUAAAUACAGACUCCAAUCACAGUUUUUACUUUUGCACCAGAGCGAUUGUGCGUUUGUUUCCGUAUAAGUGCAGUUUAUCAAGCCGAAGCUAAGCUACCCAACGUUUGCUAAGAAGUACUGUGUAUUUCUGGAAAUUUAUUCACAAGUCUGUGGGAAAUAUGUUUAAUUCUUCUUGGAAAUCUCAUAAACUCUGAAUUCA